AGCUGUUAUUGUGCUUUUACGCUACUGGUCCGGCCCACUUGAGGUCAGACGGGUUGAAUGUGGCCCCCGAACCAAAAUGAGUUUGACACCCCAGCUCUGGUGUAUCAUUUGUGGUGAUAUAUAAUUCCCAUGGGUCUUCCAAAUAUUUUAUAAAUACAGGGUCACUUAGAAGAAAUAGGUUCAAACGCCACUAUCUUGAUAAACGAUCAUAAUAAGAUGGUAAUAACUCUAUAAAGACCGAGGAGUGAUCUGACAAGACACACAGAUUAAUAGAACAUACAAGGGUAUUAUCCAGGAUAGAUCUGGAGACAAACAGAAAGUCAAUUCUAGAAAAAGACUGAUGAGGCCUAGAAAAGAAGUGAAAUCCCUUACAUUUGGAUUACAAAUCCUCCAGGCAUCAAAGAGACCCAGAUCAUUACAUAGCCCAUUUGUUGCUUUUGCCAUUUUAGAGGGUGGCUGGGUCUUAGGUGGGCUGUAGUCAGAGCUGGGCAUCAAACCUGUGUUAAAAUCUCCUCCUAUUAGAACAUGAGAGGGACAAAUAGGUGAAACUUCUGCCAGAAUUUUUGAAUAAAAUGCACUGUCAUAUACAUUUGGAGCAUCUACAUUACCGAGCAAUAUUUGCUCGCCAUACAAGAUUCCAGUUACUGCUACGUAACGCCCCUCUCUAUCUUUAACAAUUUUUUCCACAGUACCUGCCCCACCCAGUCGCGCUGUAGUUUUGAGUGUUAAUGGUCAGUUAGGUGAGUUUCCUGUAAUAGGGCAAUUUGCACCUUUUCUUUUUUAAGCAAAGUGAGAGUUUUACGCCUUUUGAUAACGUGAUUGAUUCCCUUAACAUUAAGGGGUUAAUAUUUUUGUGUUACUCAUUACACACAAUCAUCAGUCCAGCAUGAAGUAAAGCACCAUGAAAAGGAGAAAAGAAAA